rnacentral:tRNA from 1 species
AGAAUUUUAAGUUAAAAAAACUAGAAGUUUUCAAGGCUUCAAUUAUUCAAAUCUGUUUAAAUUCUG